rnacentral:rRNA from 1 species
UCGAGCGGAGAUGAGGUGCUUGCACCUUAUCUUAGCGGCGGACGGGUGAGUAAUGCUUAGGAAUCUGCCUAUUAGUGGGGGACAACAUUUCGAAAGGAAUGCUAAUACCGCAUACGCCCUACGGGGGAAAGCAGGGGAUCUUCGGACCUUGCGCUAAUAGAUGAGCCUAAGUCGGAUUAGCUAGUUGGUGGGGUAAAGGCCUACCAAGGCGACGAUCUGUAGCGGGUCUGAGAGGAUGAUCCGCCACACUGGGACUGAGACACGGCCCAGACUCCUACGGGAGGCAGCAGUGGGGAAUAUUGGACAAUGGGGGGUACCCUGAUCCAGCCAUGCCGCGUGUGUGAAGAAGGCCUUUUGGUUGUAAAGCACUUUAAGCGAGGAGGAGGAGCUCUAGAUUAAUACUCUAGAUGCUUGGACGUUACUCGCAGAAUAAGCACCGGCUAACUCUGUGCCAGCAGCCGCGGUAAUACAGAGGGUGCAAGCGUUAAUCGGAUUUACUGGGCGUAAAGCGUGCGUAGGUGGUCUUUUAAGUCGGAUGUGAAAUCCCUGAGCUUAACUUAGGAAUUGCAUUCGAUACUGGGAGACUAGAGUAUGGGAGAGGAUGGUAGAAUUCCAGGUGUAGCGGUGAAAUGCGUAGAGAUCUGGAGGAAUACCGAUGGCGAAGGCAGCCAUCUGGCCUAAUACUGACACUGAGGUACGAAAGCGUGNGGAGCAAACAGGAUUAGAUACCCUGGUAGUCCAUGCCGUAAACGAUGUCUACUAGCCGUUGGGGCCUUUGAGGCUUUAGUGGCGCAGCUAACGCGAUAAGUAGACCGCCUGGGGAGUACGGUCGCAAGACUAAAACUCAAAUGAAUUGACGGGGGCCCGCACAAGCGGUGGAGCAUGUGGUUUAAUUCGAUGCAACGCGAANAACCUUACC